rnacentral:rRNA from 1 species
UACGAGUGCUUCAAGCGUUAUCCGGAAUCAUUGGGCGUAAAGGGUGCGUAGGCGGCUAUGUUAGUCUCGCGUAAAAUUCUUCGGCUCAACCGGGGCUCGCGCGGGAAACGGCAUGGCUUAGAGGACGGAAGGGGUCUCUGGAACUCAUGGUGUAGCGGUGAAAUGCGUUGAUAUCAUGGGGAACACCAAAGCGAAGGCAAGAGACUGGUCCGCUCCUGACGCUGAAGCACGAAAGCGUGGGUCGCGAAUCGGG